CCCGCUGAACUUAAGCAUAUCAAUAAGCGGAGGAAAAGAAACUAACAAGGAUUCCCCUAGUAACUGCGAGUGAAGCGGGAAAAGCUCAAAUUUAAAAUCUGGCGGUCUUGCGGCCGUCCGAGUUGUAAUCUGGAGAAGCGUUUAUCCGCGUCGGACCGUGUACAAGUCUUCUGGAAGGGAGCGUCGUAGAGGGUGAGAAUCCCGUCUUUGACACGGACAACCGGUGCUUUUGUGAUGCGCUCUCGAAGAGUCGAGUUGUUUGGGAAUGCAGCUCAAAAUGGGUGGUAAAUUCCAUCUAAAGCUAAAUAUUGGCGAGAGACCGAUAGCAAACAAGUACCGUGAGGGAAAGAUGAAAAGCACUUUGGAAAGAGAGUUAAACAGUACGUGAAAUUGUUGAAAGGGAAACGCUUGAAGUCAGUCGCGUCGGCCGAGACUCAACCUUGCUUCUGCUCGGGUGCACUUCUCGGUUGGACGGGUCAGCAUCAAUUUUGACCACCGGAUAAAGGUCGGGGGGAAUGUGGGCAUCCUUCGGGAUGUGUGAUAGGCCUCGAUUCGGAUACGCCGAUUGGGACUGAGGAUCUCGGCGCUCUGCGUUCAGGAUGCUGGCAUAAUGGCUUUAAGCGACCCGUCUUGAAACACGG
rnacentral:rRNA from 1 species